CACUGUGAACCGUGGCUUCGGCCCAAACUUGAAGUCUCUGNAUGUGAUAAAUAAUAACAAAAUACAACUUUUAACAACGGAUCUCUUGGCUCUCGCAUCGAUGAAGAACGCAGCGAAAUGCGAUAAGUAAUGUGAAUUGCAGAAUUCAGUGAAUCAUCGAAUCUUUGAACGCACCUUGCGCCUUCUGGUAUUCCGGAAGGCAUGCCUGUUUGAGUGUCAUGAACACCUCACCCCCUCGGGUUUCCGAUUGGGUGGAUUUGGGCGCUGCCAGUCACAUGGCUCGCCUUAAAAGCAUUAGCGGUUGUUGACUUAAUAAGUUUCGUCUUGUCGACCGCUUCUAAUCUCCUUAGGGAUGUCUUCGGACACUUCAUGAUCUGACCUCAAAUCAGGUAGGACUACCCGCUGAACUUAAGCAUAUCAAUAAGCGGAGGAAAAGAAACUAACAAGGAUUCCCUUAGUAACGGCGAGUGAACCGGGAAGAGCUCAAAUUUGUAAUCUGGCGUCCUUCGGGCGUCCGAGUUGUAAUCUAAAGAGGUGUUUUCCGCGCCGGACCACGUUUAAGUCUCCUGGA
rnacentral:rRNA from 1 species